rnacentral:rRNA from 1 species
AUGGCUCAGGAUGAACGCUAGCGACAGGCUUAACACAUGCAAGUCGAGGGGCAGCAUAAAAGUAGCAAUACUUUGGUGGCGACCGGCGCACGGGUGAGUAACGCGUAUGCAACCUACCUAUACAAAGGGGAAUAACCCGGCGAAAGUCGGACUAAUACCGCAUAAAACAGGGACACCGCAUGGUGAUAUUUGUUAAAGAAAUUCGCUGAUAGAUGGGCAUGCGUUCCAUUAGGUAGUUGGUGAGGUAACGGCUCACCAAGCCGACGAUGGAUAGGGGAACUGAGAGGUUGGUCCCCCACACUGGUACUGAGACACGGACCAGACUCCUACGGGAGGCAGCAGUGAGGAAUAUUGGUCAAUGGGCGAGAGCCUGAACCAGCCAAGUCGCGUGAAGGAAGAAGGAUCUAUGGUUCGUAAACUUCUUUUGCAGGGGAAUAAAGUGCAGGACGUGUCCUGUUUUGUAUGUACCCUGAGAAUAAGGAUCGGCUAACUCCGUGCCAGCCGCCGC